AGCGCAUACGGUGGAUGCCUUGGCAGUUAGAGGCGAUGAAGGACGUAGGAGCCUGCGAUAAGCUUCGGGGAGUUGGCAAACAAACUUUGAUCCGGAGAUUUCCGAAUGGGGAAACCCACCUGCUAUAAAGCGGGUAUCAUGCACUGAAUACAUAGGUGUAUGAGGCGAACCUGGGGAACUGAAACAUCUAAGUACCCAGAGGAAAAGAAAUCAAUUGAGAUUCCCUAAGUAGCGGCGAGCGAACGGGGAUUAGCCCUUAAGUUUUUAACGUUUUAGUGGAAGGUUCUGGAAAGUUCCGCGAUACAGGGUGAUAGCCCCGUACACGAAAAGACGUUCUAAGUGAAAUCGAGUAGGUCGGGACACGAGUUAUCUUGACUGAACAUGGGGGGACCAUCCUCAAAGGCUAAAUACUACUAACUGACCGAUAGUGAACCAGUACCGUGAGGGAAAGGCGAAAAGAACCCCGGAGAGGGGAGUGAAAUAGAUCCUGAAACCGUAUGCGUACAAGCAGUAGGAGCAGACUUGUUCUGUGACUGCGUACCUUUUGUAUAAUGGGUCAGCGACUUACUUUUAGUAGCAAGGUUAACCAUUUAGGGGAGCCGUAGAGAAAUCGAGUCUUAAUAGGGCGUUUAGUUGCUAGGAGUAGACCCGAAACCGGGCGAUCUAUCCAUGGGCAGGUUGAAGGUUGAGUAACAUCAACUGGAGGACCGAACUCACGUAUGUUGAAAAAUGCGGAGAUGACUUGUGGAUCGGAGUGAAAGGCUAAUCAAGCCCGGAGAUAGCUGGUUCUCCUCGAAAGCUAUUUAGGUAGCGCCUCGUGUCUCACCAUUGGGGGUAGAGCACUGUUUCGGCUAGGGGGUCAUCCCGACUUACCAACCCGAUGCAAACUCCGAAUACCAAUGAGUGCAAUCACGGGAGACACACGGCGGGUGCUAACGUCCGUCGUGGAAAGGGAAACAACCCAGACCGUCAGCUAAGGUCCCAAAGUUAUAGUUAAGUGGGAAACGAUGUGGGAAGGUUUAGACAGCUAGGAGGUUGGCUUAGAAGCAGCCAUCCUUUAAAGAAAGCGUAAUAGCUCACUAGUCGAGUCGGCCUGCGCGGAAGAUAUAACGGGGCUAAACUGGUAACCGAAGCUGUGGAUGCGUGUUUACACGCAUGGUAGAGGAGCGUUCUGUAAGCCGUUGAAGGUAGAUUGAGAAGUCUGCUGGAGGUAUCAGAAGUGCGAAUGCUGACAUGAGUAACGAUAAAGGGGGUGAAAAACCCCCUCGCCGAAAGACCAAGGUUUCCUAUCCCAUGCUAAUCAGGGUAGGGUUAGUCGGCCCCUAAGGCGAGGCAGAAAUGCGUAGUCGAUGGAAAAAAGGUUAAUAUUCCUUUACUUCUUAUUAUUGCGAUGGAGGGACGGAGUAGGCUAGAUCAGACGGGCGUUGGUUGUCCCGAUCUAAGCGUGUAGGGGGUUCUCUUAGGUAAAUCCGGGAGAACAUUACUCUGAGACGUGAUGGCGAGGCUCUCUUUUGAGCCGAGUGGUCGAUGCCAUGCUUCCAAGAAAAGCUUCUAAGCUUCAGGUAAUAAGAAACCGUACUCCAAACCGACACAGGUGGUCAGGUAGAGAAUACCAAGGCGCUUGAGAGAACUCGGGUGAAGGAACUAGGCAAAAUGGUACCGUAACUUCGGGAGAAGGUACGCCGGCUUUGGUGAUGGGACUUGCUCCCUAAGCUGAGGCUGGUCGAAGUGACCAGGUGGCUGCGACUGUUUAUUAAAAACAUAGCACUCUGCAAACACGUAAGUGGACGUAUAGGGUGUGACGCCUGCCCGGUGCCGGAAGGUUAAUUGAUGGGGUUAUCUUCGGAGAAGCUCUUGAUCGAAGCCCCGGUAAACGGCGGCCGUAACUAUAACGGUCCUAAGGUAGCGAAAUUCCUUGUCGGGUAAGUUCCGACCUGCACGAAUGGCGUAACGAUGGCCACACUGUCUCCACCCGAGACUCAGUGAAAUUGAAAUUGCGGUUAAGAUGCCGUAUACCCGCGGCUAGACGGAAAGACCCCGUGAACCUUUACUAUAGCUUCACACUGGACUCUGACUUUACUUGUGUAGGAUAGCUGGGAGGCUUUGAAGCGAUGGCGCUAGCUGUUGUGGAGCCAACCUUGAAAUACCAGCCUGGUAACGUUGGGGUUCUAACCUAGGUCCAUUAUCUGGAUUGGGGACAGUGUGUGGUGGGUAGUUUGACUGGGGCGGUCUCCUCCCAAAGAGUAACGGAGGAGCACGAAGGUGCGCUAAGC
rnacentral:rRNA from 1 species